GGCGCUUUAGCUUAGUGGUAGAGCGUUGGUCUUGUAAACCAAAGGUCACGAGUUCAAUUCUCGUAAGCGCCU
rnacentral:tRNA from 1 species